UGCUGGCCUGGCAGCACAUAUUCUAAAAAUUGAAAUGAUACAGAGAAGACUAGAAUGGCCUUGUGCAAAGAUGACUUGCAAAUUUGUGAAGCAUUCUGUAUUUUA
rfam:Tupaia chinensis contig191069, whole genome shotgun sequence.